CAUCCGACGCCCAGGGAUCAACCCUGUAUGACGACCUAGCUGUGUAUUUUUGUCAAGAGGAAUGUGUGAGCCUGCACCCUGCCCAGAAAAUCAAAAAAGAAAUCAAACAGGAGUGUUUCGAAGAUGUGGCUUUGAUGGGAUCCUUGGCUGAGUGAGAAAUGGAGGACCUAAAACUGAAGCCUGAGAAAUAACGAGAGGCAUGGAAGAAGAGCAUUAUCUGAAAAGGAGAAGGAAAGGCAGAGGGCGAGGACACUGGAAUGUCAGGAGAAUGGAGAAUUUCAAGGUGGGGGGGAGUGAUCAACUGGGCUUGAGGUUCUUUUUUUUCUUCUUCUUUUUUCUUUUUUUCUUUUUUCUUUUUUUUCAUAUUUAUUUUUUUUAGUUUUCGGCGGACACAACAUCUUUGUUGUAUGUGGUGCAGAGGAUCAAACCGGGGCCACACGCAUGCCAGGAGAGCGCGCUACCACUUGAGCCACAGCCCCAGCCCUGGGCUGGAGGUUCUUGAGAUGUCAAAUGAUUUGGGGACCAAGAAAAGUUUAUUGGAUUUUUCAACCCAGAGAUCAAUGGACCCCUCAACAAGAAUAACAGUGAAACAGUGGUAGCAGAAGCCAGAUUAGAGAAGACAAGACAGAAAGGGGAACAUGUGGAGAGAUGAGAUUGUAGCUACAAGGAAAUGUGAGUUCAAGAGUAGUUUUUAAAAAUCUAAGAGAUAUCCACAGCAUGUUUGAAUAAUGUUUCAGGAAAUCAAUACAAAUACAAACUCAAGACUUUCCACUGGUUGUAUUAUUGAUGGCAUGCAGGCAGCCCAACCUCUGACAGCCCCAGAGGACCCAGGCAGGAGAAUGUGUCCUUCUGUCUGGAUGUCUAGUGGCUGCUGGGGACGGGUACUACCAGCUAACAGAAAAACUUGAAGAAUUUCAUUCAAAACACAGAACUGACACACAAGGGCCUUCCAAAAUUACCAUGGAAUGAGCCUUUCUGAAGAGAUGGCCAGAGAAAACAACAAAUCCAGAUCAAGAACAGAGCUGCCUCAGUCUGACAGCUGCACCCCCACCUUACCUGCUACUGAUUCUGGUCCGAAAGAACUAUGAGGUCAUGUCUGUGAUGUCACAGACACUGACAAACUUUCAUCUCUGGACACUCUCUGCUUCUCUUUCCAGCCUGAGACUUUGUGUCUCACCAUUCCUCAAAGUAGUUGGGGUCUCCUUUAAAGCCCUAUGGUCUGCAAGAUCCUAAGUAUGAUUCCUGGCUCUUCUCUUGGAAAAAUUCCUGGGGAUGGGGCUUCAUUAGCUUCAGUUGGAGCACAGCAACACCCUCCUCCAUUACUGCAGGGUUGCUAUUCUUGGAGCUCACACAUUAUUGUCUGAAUACAAAAACUCCAUCACUGAUACCCUGCUUCACCCCUACAGAUCACCGUGUGGACUCAGGACAGAAGUAUGGGAAUAGAGAUCUCUGGAAAGCCAAAGCUAAAACACUGAAUGAGAAGUCGGAUAUGUGCAGCUGGGUAAAACAGGACCAGGAGGAAAGUUAUAUCCCAGUGCCACAACUACCACUGGCAGAGAGCACAACAGAGUCCUGUUUGCUCAGGGCAGUGUAGGGAGUCUGUGCAGCCACACCCUGAGCUCCUGAGCUCUGUUAUAUAUGCAGCAUACUCCCAGUCCUUCUGGUCCCACUCUGGCCAUCUCUUGAUAACAAAUCUAGCUGUAUUAAUCUGUUUAGAGAAGUGUCCCCCUCACAUUGAGGCUGUUUUAGUCAGAUUUUUCACUGCUGUGACUAAAUGAUCUGACCAGAACAACUGUAGAAGAGGAAAGGUUUAUUUACAGCUCACAGUUUCAGAAGUUGUAGUCCAUAGAAGGCCAGCUCUAUUCCUCGGAGCUUGAGGUGAGGCAGAACAUCAUGGCAGAAGAGUGUGUCAGAGGGAAGCAGCUCACAUGGAAUCAGGAAGCAGAAAGAAAAAGAGUCUCCACUUGCCAGAUACAAAUAUAUACCCCCCAAACCAGGACCCAAUUCCUACCUUCUCCAGCCACACCCCACCACUUCAGUAACCACUCAGUUAAUCCCUAUCGGGAUUAAUUCACAAAUUGGGUUAAGACUCUUUUUUUAAUAUUUAUUUUUUAGUUGAGAUUGUACACAACACCUUUAUUUUUUUAUUUAUUUUUAUGAGGUGCUGAGGAUUGAACCCAGGGCCUCACACAUGGCUAGGAGAGUGCACUACGGAUGAGCCACAACCUGAGCCCUGGGUUAAAGACUCUUACAACCGAAUCAUUUCUCCUCUGAACUUUCUUGCAUUGUCUCACACCAUGAGCUUCUGGGGGAUAUUUAAACCAUAAUAGAGGACUUAACUAAAAUUCCUCUGCCUUGCUGUGCAUUGUGAACCAUCACAAAGCAAGCACUUCAAGAACCAGAAGAUUUUCAUUCAGAGCUGGCUCAGUUGAAUAUAACUUGAAGAGGAAAAAGUUUGUGUUCUACAGGGGAUAUGUGUCUCUCUUCAUUAUUGAGGAGGAGAGACCUACUGAAAGCUUAGUGUUUGGUGAGAACAUCCAGUCUUGCCUUUGGCCCACUCUCCUGGAAAGGAAAAACAGCAUUCUCUUAGGAAGGCUGACAUGGACACCGGCUGGGGAAAAAAAGAAGUGAUAAAGAAGGAAGAGCAACAAAAUCAAGAUUUUCCACCUGUUCCCACUGCCUGUCCCAUACCCAAGCCCAUUACAACCUGCUAUCCAUUUUCUCUGACCAUACUCCCUUACCCUCCCACUGCCUUGAUGCAGUGGCACAUGCAUGUAAUCCCAGCCAUUCGGGAGGCUGAGGCAGGAGGACCACAAGUUUGAGGCCAGCUCUGGCAACUUAAAGAGACCCUAUCUCAAAACAAAAAAUAAAAAGGAGGGGCUGGGGAUACAGCUCAGUUGGUAGAGUGCCUGCCUUGCAUGCACAAGGCCCUGAGUUCAAUCCCCAGCCCCCCCCCAAAAUAAAUAAAUAAAUAAAUAUAAAAAGAGAUGGAGAUGGGACUGGGGGUCCCAUCUCAGUAGGAGAGCACUUGCGAGCAUAUGCAAGGCCCUGGGUUCAAUUCCUAGCACCACCAGAAAAGUGGUGGGGUCUGGAGAUGUAACUUAGUGGUAAAACACCCCUGAGUUCAAUCCCCAAUACAAAAACAAACAGAAAAAAGCCGUUACUUUGGUCCCCCAGGUUCUCACUCCAAAUCCUGUACCAAGGUCGUUGCUUUCUGGGUGAUGCUCCAUCACUCAGACCCAGCUUGAAUCUCCCUGUGUAGGAUGGUCAGGAAUUGCUUUAGCCCCAGAGUUCUCUCCUGAGUGCAAUGUCAGCUGUUGCCUUUAACAACAGAGCUCUCAGAGUUGGUGGAAGACCCUGAGAAGCCCAGAUACUUGCUACAGUCUGGAGGGCUGGUGGGAGAUCUCCAAAUUGCCAAUCCCUUUGAGAGAGGUUAGCUUUACCAUCAACCACCUGAGAGACAACAAGGAUAGGUGAGGAGUUCAACUGCAUAAGCUGAUCUGCAGCUCAAAAUUCAGUUCCUACAACUCUGAAGAAUCACCUCCAGCUAGGUCUCUCAGAUAAAAUCUUUGCUCUGGAAAAGAGGUCAUGUGAGAAUUUAUUUCUCUUCAUUUCCUCACUCUAAAAAAGAACUAAAGAAUGUAUAGUUUUCUCAUCACAUUCAUAAAGGCUCUGACCUCAUCAAUGAAUUAAUCAAUUGAUAACUGAAUAGACUACUGGUAGGUGGUGAAAGGGGGACAUAAUUAAAGGAGUGAAUCCUUCAAGAUAUGCCCUUAUGGACUGUAUCUGUCCCUGGCCUCUUCCUCUCUGUAUCCCUAGCUAACAUGAGCUGAGAAGUUUUCCUCCACCACAUCCUUCAGCCAAUUAUUUUCUACCUUACCUCAGGCCAGAGCAAUGGAGUUGGAUGACUACAGAAUGAAAAUUCUUAGCUGAAAACAAAUGUUUUCUCCUCAAAGUUGUUUUUCUGUUAUUUGUCACAGUGAUGAAAAGCUAAUGCAGAGGCAAAACUGGUCUUUGCUUGAGAUGUCUCUGACAUCUGUACCCCUUCCAUUUCCACUACUAUCAUUUUAAGGCAGGGCAUCUAAAACAGCACGACUGAUAUUUGGGGUAAGAUAGAUCUUAGGUUGGGGUAGGUGGGCAACCUGUUUUGAAAGAUAUUUGGUUACAUCCCUGACCACCUCCCACUAGAUGCCAGUAGCACCAUCCCAGUGAUGACUAAAAUUAUCUCCAGACAUUGGCAAUGUCUGGGAAUAUCCUCUGAGGGGCAAAAUCGCCCCUGGUAGAGAAUCCCUGAUCUAGAAAUAGAUUAACAUCUUCACCCACCAAGCUUUUCCUGCCUGAAACACUCUUUCCCCAAAGUCCUAAUUCAUUCUUUCCAUAGACAGUGAAUACGAAGAAUGGCUGUUCUCCACCCCUCCCAACCAGGAAAGAACACCUGAGCCUAGACCUUACAAAUGUAGAAGAAAAUUCUAUGUCCUCAAGAGGGUCUCAUCCUCUUGAAAACGAAAGGAUGAGGAUUAUAACAAAGCCACCUCCACCUUCUUGAAGCCUCCAGAUCCUUCGAAGCCUCGCCCCUGCCCGGUACUCUCAGGGCGCUUUAUCUGCACCCACCUAAUACCAGAACUGGUUUCGGGAGGGUUUAUCUACCGCUCUCUGAGGGCAAGUAGCUUCUAUGUAGUCCUCUUGCAAGAAGGCUUCGGUGACGCCACGCCUCCCAGAUAGAAGGCCCAGUUGUCUCCGCCACCGAGGUUUUGCGUCCCGGGACCCAGGAGCUGACAGCAGCGGGGCAGAAGGCGAAGACACAGCCCUUACAUACACGCGCCAUGAAAAGCCCAGCCCAGCGAGACUCACCUAGCACGCCGGAAGCUACCGCGGGCACGCCGGAAGUUGCCGCGCGGCACGCCGGGAUCUGAAAGUCGGGACGCAAGUGCACAGGCCAGGUCCGAAAGUUCGCCUUCAAAGACCGCCCCCUUCCUCCUGGUUUCCGCCCUCUGCUAAUCGACUUGGGUUCUCACCGUGAGGGUCCUUCUCUCAUACUCUGGACCAAUCAUAACGUCCGAGAACCCCUCCGUGCGUCCACGGAGGCACCGGUUGUGAGGCGCUUCCCCUUGUCGCUUGUGUUAGCAGGCGACGCGAGGCUCACAACCCGGUUUCACGGACGAGGUGGUGAAACUGUGCUGACACCUCGGGGCUUGCUCUGUUCGGCGUAGUGCCUCACACCCCGCGACCUCAACCCCGCCCAACAGCCGGGACGUCGGUACUGGAGCUGCUUUCGCCCUCCAGACGAGGAAUCCGAGGCAGAGUUCAGAUGACUUUCUAUCGACAGAAGUAGUUAAAAUUCAUUUCUGAUCUACUUUAUUCCUAAUUUUGUUUUUAAAUAUUACGGUAGAACCACAAAACAUUCUUGAUCGGUAGAAAAGCUGGGGAUCAGCAGGAACGAUGGGAGGUCCCAGGGAUACAAUUUCCCAGGGAGAGGAAAUCAGUUUUCUGAAGAAGCAGGGUGUACAGUCAGCCUCUCAAGAGAACAGGUUGUCAGCCCUGCUCACAGGGCGCCCACAGACCAUAAGGACAGAACAAGUACCACACCCCACCCCCAUUUCCCCACAUACAGAACAGACCUUAAACAUAAACAGAUCAGUAGAUAUCCCCAUUGAGCAAAGCAAGAAAACCAACGUACCACAUUGGUUGGUCUCAAUUAGGUUCUCAGGCCUGACAAAACCAGAAACUAAAGAAUGUGUAGACAGGACCUCCGGGGAACACAGGUGUCAUUCUCACUCUGGAGACUGAGCAGUGUCCAUGCUGAAUGUAAUUUCAUUUUAAAUAAAUCUUUGGGGUGUGUGUGUGGGGGGGGACAUGACUAUGCUAUCAGUAAUUUGCCUGCUCAGGACACAAGAAACUGAGGGACCUGCUUCUUCCUGCAACAUUCCUAGUCUUCCUAUGACAGUUCUCCCUUACAAAUAAAUCAGCUUCAUAACUA